rnacentral:rRNA from 1 species
AUACGUAGGUGACAAGCGUUAUCCGGAUUUACUGGGCGUAAAGGGCGUGUAGGCGGUCUUGCAAGUCAGAAGUGAAAUUCCUGAGCUCAACUCGGGCGCUGCUUCUGAAACUGCAGGACUUGAGUGCUGGAGGGGAUAGCGGAAUUCCUAGUGGAGCGGUAAAAUGCGCAGAUAUUAGGAAGAACACCGGUGGCGAAGGCGGCAAUCUGGACAGUAACUGACGCUGAGGCGCGAAAGCGUGGGGAGCAAACAGGAUUAGAUACCCCGGUAGUCCACGCCGUAAACGAUGAAUACUAGGUGUAGGGGGUAUCGACUCCCUCUGUGCCGCAGUUAACACAAUAAGUAUUCCGCCUGGGGAGUACGGCCGCAAGGUUGAAACUCAAAGGAAUUGACGGGG